UUUUAUGGAGAGUUUGAUCCUGGCUCAGGAUGAACGCUGGCGGCGUGCCUAAUACAUGCAAGUCGAGCGAACGGACGAGAAGCUUGCUUCUCUGAUGUUAGCGGCGGACGGGUGAGUAACACGUGGAUAACCUACCUAUAAGACUGGGAUAACUUCGGGAAACCGGAGCUAAUACCGGAUAAUAUUUUGAACCGCAUGGUUCAAAAGUAAAAGACGGUCUUGCUGUCACUUAUAGAUGGAUCCGCGCUGCAUUAGCUAGUUGGUAAGGUAACGGCUUACCAAGGCAACGAUGCAUAGCCGACCUGAGAGGGUGAUCGGCCACACUGGAACUGAGACACGGUCCAGACUCCUACGGGAGGCAGCAGUAGGGAAUCUUCCGCAAUGGGCGAAAGCCUGACGGAGCAACGCCGCGUGAGUGAUGAAGGUCUUCGGAUCGUAAAACUCUGUUAUUAGGGAAGAACAUAUGUGUAAGUAACUGUGCACAUCUUGACGGUACCUAAUCAGAAAGCCACGGCUAACUACGUGCCAGCAGCCGCGGUAAUACGUAGGUGGCAAGCGUUAUCCGGAAUUAUUGGGCGUAAAGCGCGCGUAGGCGGUUUUUUAAGUCUGAUGUGAAAGCCCACGGCUCAACCGUGGAGGGUCAUUGGAAACUGGAAAACUUGAGUGCAGAAGAGGAAAGUGGAAUUCCAUGUGUAGCGGUGAAAUGCGCAGAGAUAUGGAGGAACACCAGUGGCGAAGGCGACUUUCUGGUCUGUAACUGACGCUGAUGUGCGAAAGCGUGGGGAUCAAACAGGAUUAGAUACCCUGGUAGUCCACGCCGUAAACGAUGAGUGCUAAGUGUUAGGGGGUUUCCGCCCCUUAGUGCUGCAGCUAACGCAUUAAGCACUCCGCCUGGGGAGUACGACCGCAAGGUUGAAACUCAAAGGAAUUGACGGGGACCCGCACAAGCGGUGGAGCAUGUGGUUUAAUUCGAAGCAACGCGAAGAACCUUACCAAAUCUUGACAUCCUUUGACAACUCUAGAGAUAGAGCCUUCCCCUUCGGGGGACAAAGUGACAGGUGGUGCAUGGUUGUCGUCAGCUCGUGUCGUGAGAUGUUGGGUUAAGUCCCGCAACGAGCGCAACCCUUAAGCUUAGUUGCCAUCAUUAAGUUGGGCACUCUAAGUUGACUGCCGGUGACAAACCGGAGGAAGGUGGGGAUGACGUCAAAUCAUCAUGCCCCUUAUGAUUUGGGCUACACACGUGCUACAAUGGACAAUACAAAGGGCAGCGAAACCGCGAGGUCAAGCAAAUCCCAUAAAGUUGUUCUCAGUUCGGAUUGUAGUCUGCAACUCGACUACAUGAAGCUGGAAUCGCUAGUAAUCGUAGAUCAGCAUGCUACGGUGAAUACGUUCCCGGGUCUUGUACACACCGCCCGUCACACCACGAGAGUUUGUAACACCCGAAGCCGGUGGAGUAACCUUUUAGGAGCUAGCCGUCGAAGGUGGGACAAAUGAUUGGGGUGAAGUCGUAACAAGGUAGCCGUAUCGGAAGGUGCGGCUGGAUCACCUCCUUUCUAA
rnacentral:rRNA from 1 species